CCUACGGGUGGCAGCAGUCGAGAAUCAUUCACAAUGGGGGAAACCCUGAUGGUGCGACGCCGCGUGGGGGAAUGAAGGUCUUCGGAUUGUAAACCCCUGUCAUGUGGGAGCAAAUUAAAAAGAUAGUACCACAAGAGGAAGAGACGGCUAACUCUGUGCCAGCAGCCGCGGUAAUACAGAGGUCCCAAGCGUUGUUCGGAUUCACUGGGCGUAAAGCGUGCGUAGGCUGUUUCGUAAGUCGUGUGUGAAAGGUGCGGGCUCAACCCGCGGACGGCACAUGAUACUGCGAGACUAGAGUAAUGGAGGGGGAACCGGAAUUCUCGGUGUAGCAGUGAAAUGCGUAGAUAGCGGGAGGAACACUCGUGGCGAAGGCGGGUUCCUGGACAUUAACUGACGCUGAGGCACGAAGGCCAGGGGAGCGAAAGGGAUUAGAUACCCGUGUAGUC
rnacentral:rRNA from 1 species